UCUUAGUGGCAUAAAACAAUAAAUAGUUAUUAUCGCACAGCUUCCAUUAGUCAGCAAUCCAGACACAGCUUAAUCUGAGUGCUUGUGAUUCAGGAUCUUCCGUGAUACUUCAGUCAAUGUUUUGACCAGGGCUGUUGCAGAAUCCACUGGAGGAUUAUCUACUUAUAGGCACUUACAUGAAUACUGGGAAGAGGCCUCAGUGCCUCAUUGGCUACUGUUGGUGGAAGCAGUUGCUUGCUACAUGAAUCUAUCCAUUGCUAUGUGGAUAUAUCCACUUUGCUAUCCCCAGAGCUUGGAUCUGAGGGGCAGAAGAAGGGAGAAUGGGGAAGAGAGGGAGAAAUCAAAACAGAAGCCAGAGAAUUUUUAUAGCCUAAACACAUGAGUGAUAUCUUAUUACUUCUGCUGUAUUCUACACAUCUGAACUGAGCUAAUAAGUCUAGCUCAUACUCUACGUGACAAAGAUUUGAUGCCAGUAGUUGAGGAUCUCACAUGCUGCCCUCUUCAUAGGGAAUUAAAAAUAUUUUAAAGGGACUUUUGACUAUCUCAAAACACAAUUACUCAAAUAUACCUAUAGGAAUUUAAUGAAAACCCCUGUCAAACAUACUGGACUAAUAUUAGAAUUAUAUCCAACUUGUAGGCAUUCACUGACUUAAAAACAGAUGGUCACUCAUCUGAGAUUAGCACAGGAACUGAAAUCAAGUGUUGAGAAAUUUGACAUUGCUUGACAUGUGUGGGGAGCAACCGAGACUAGGCUAAAUUACUGGAACUGCUAAGACUAAUUCUAUGCAUCUGAUCUCCCACCAUAUGGCGCUGAGAGGGAAUAAACCACUUCCACACGGUUGCCUCACCAAUUCGACUAACAAGCUGCAGGAGCUGAUCCUGCCCCUGAUUGGAGGAGAGCAGCGUGCUCAGCCUGUGGGGAGAGAACACCAGCAGAGUUGGGAUUGGUGGAAGAGGACUAUAAAGGAGGAGAGAGACAACAUGCAAGAGGAACAUCUGAGCAACCCCUGAGAAACCCCUGAGAGAGCCGGCUGGCGGUGUGCUGCCCCUCCACGGAGGCGGGGGGCGGGGGCAGCGAACCCGGGAAGGGCCGGGGAAAGAGAACAGCCCAGGGCCCGGUGUUGUUCCUCUGCGAGUGGGGGAGCGACAGACAUGAAAUGAAGAUUCCUCUGGGAAGUACAAUGAACUAAUCUGGUACUGUACGCUGUAGGUUUCAUAUAAAAUACUGUCAUUUGCAUUUGAUCCAAGAUGACACUGAUAGAGUUGAUUCUUCUCGCAGAAGCCAUGUUUUCUCCUUCUACACACUACAUUCAACUUGUCCUUGGCUCUUCUGAGAUAACUCAUCCCCGACAUCAUCUCUCCUCAAAGGGAUUUCCAGCUCACCCAAUAUGGGCAGUAGGCUGGUUUUUCUUUUCUUCUUUUUAUGUUUGAUGGCUCAGAUGGAGAUCUCAUUUUGUUACAAUGUCAAGCCCAUCAAGGUAACCCUUUUAGCAGCUACCUAUAUUCUAUUUUAAUGAAGAAUUCUGGCCUUAAAAUAGGUUUUUCCUUUUAAAAUAAAAUAAAGGGAUUAUAUAAUAUUAAAUAUAUAUUUAAAAUAUAUUUAUUUAAAUAUAUUAAAUAUUUAUAAGUAAAUAUGUUUAUAUUAAAUUCAAAAUAUGGCAUAUUAUUCUAGGAUUAUUAUCUCUGUUGUUUUAACAUUUGUAAGCAUACUCAGCUUAUGAAAUUAUUGUGUGUUAAUUAUGAGAUGAUUGGUCAAGGUAUACUCACAAGCCCCAAAUCUCAGAGACUUUACAUGAAGUUGAUCUCUUACACAGAGUCUGUUGCUGUUCUAGUGGCUUUUUCAGGAAUCCCCUUUCCAUGUGGUGAUUUCAGAUUUUCUACUACUUGCUUAUACAUUGUGGCAAUGGCAUCUGAAACAUGUGCCUCUCCAGGGUCACCAUGAAGAGAGCUGGGAAAUACACUAGAGAGUUCUGCCUCAGUCCUCAAGUAACGUACAUCCCAGACUCAAUAGUCACAUGGCCAAGCACAAGUCACAUGGCCUUCUGCAAAUGUAAACAGAUUGGGUAAUGUAAUUUAACUAUGUCCAGGAAGGCAAAACCAAGAUACAAGGUAGUUUUUGCCAAAAAUCUCUGUAAAAGACAAUGAAGACAAUGAUGAUAAUUGGUGAAUAUUUUUUCUUACUGCAAAAAGUUGAAACUCUCUGUGAGCAUUCCACAUAUUUGGGGAAAAUUUAUUGAUGAAAUUUAGGAACUAUUGCACUAACUCGUUCUAUGAAACCUGAACGUCAUAGCCUAGAAUUCCUGGUUCUUUAUGCGCUAACCCUGCCAACAUCUCCAAGCUUAUCUGUUGAUAACCUUGACAUGAGUCAUACCUUUCUGUUUAUUUCAUUGCAGUUCAUGACCAUGUGUCCUUUUGCCUGAAAUUGUUUAAGCCUUGCCCUAAGUUUUUAAAGACUCUUACUUAGCAUCACUCAAUUGGUAGUGCACUCUUCAAUACCUCCAAAAGCAAUCCAUGCACCACUUCCAACCAUUUUUUGCAGACAUUCGUGAAUCCUCCAGUUGACCAUGUGUUCUUUUGAGUAGAGAAAUCUUUUUCUUCUCCUUAAUUCUAGAAUUCUGGUAAGGAGGA